UGGGGAAUCUUAGACAAUGGGCGCAAGCCUGAUCUAGCCAUGCCGCGUGAGCGAUGAAGGCCUUAGGGUUGUAAAGCUCUUUCGUGGGGGAAGAUAAUGACUGUACCCCAAGAAGAAGCCCCGGCUAACUCCGUGCCAGCAGCCGCGGUAAUACGGAGGGGGCUAGCGUUGUUCGGAAUUACUGGGCGUAAAGCGCACGUAGGCGGACCAGAAAGUCAGAGGUGAAAUCCCAGGGCUCAACCUUGGAACUGCCUUUGAAACUCCUGGUCUUGAGGUCGAGAGAGGUGAGUGGAAUUCCGAGUGUAGAGGUGAAAUUCGUAGAUAUUCGGAGGAACACCAGUGGCGAAGGCGGCUCACUGGCUCGAUACUGACGCUGAGGUGCGAA
rnacentral:rRNA from 1 species